UUUAAUUCGAAGCAACGCGAAGAACCUUACCAGGUCUUGACAUCCCCUGACAACCGAGAGAUCGGCGUUCCCCUUCGGGGGACAGGGUGACAGGUGGUGCAUGGUUGUCGUCAGCUCGUGUCGUGAGAUGUUGGGUUAAGUCCCGCAACGAGCGCAACCCUCGACCUUAGUUGCCAGCAUUCAGUUGGGCACUCUAAGGUGACUGCCGGCUAAAAGUCGGAGGAAGGUGGGGAUGACGUCAAAUCAUCAUGCCCCUUAUGACCUGGGCUACACACGUGCUACAAUGGGCGGUACAAAGGGUCGCGAACCCGCGAGGGGGAGCCAAUCCCAAAAAGCCGCUCUCAGUUCGGAUUGCAGGCUGCAACUCGCCUGCAUGAAGUUGGAGUUGCUAGUAAACGCAGGUCAGCCAUACUGCGUUGAAUACGUUCCCGGGGCUU
rnacentral:rRNA from 1 species